GACGAACGCUGGCGGCGUGCUUAACACAUGCAAGUCGAACGGAAAGGCCCUGCGCUUGUGGGGUGCUCGAGUGGCGAACGGGUGAGUAACACGUGAGUAACCUGCCCUUGACUUUGGGAUAACUUCAGGAAACUGGGGCUAAUACCGGAUAGGAGCUCCUGCUGCAUGGGGGGGGUUGGAAAGUUUCGGCGGUGCGGGAUGGACUCGCGGCUUAUCAGCUUGUUAGUGGGGUAGUGGCUUACCAAGGCUUUGACGGGUAGCCGGCCUGAGAGGGUGACCGGCCACAUUGGGACUGAGAGACGGCGCAGACUCCUACGGGAGGCAGCAGUGGGGAAUAUUGCACAAUGGGCGGAAGCCUGAUGCAGCAACGCCGCGUGCGGGAUGACGGCCUUCGGGUUGUAAACCGCUUUCGCCUGUGACGAAGCGUGAGUGACGGUAAUGGGUAAAGAAGCACCGGCUAACUACGUG
rnacentral:rRNA from 1 species